rnacentral:rRNA from 1 species
CCUACGGGAGGCUGCAGUGGGGAAUAUUGGACAAUGGGGGGAACCCUGAUCCAGCCAUGCCGCGUGUGUGAAGAAGGCCCUCGGGUUGUAAAGCACUUUCAGUGAGGAAGAACGCCUGGUGGUUAAUACCCAUCAGGAAAGACAUCACUCACAGAAGAAGCACCGGCUAACUCCGUGCCAGCAGCCGCGGUAAUACGGAGGGUGCGAGCGUUAAUCGGAAUUACUGGGCGUAAAGCGCGCGUAGGUGGCUUGAUAAGCCGGUUGUGAAAGCCCCGGGCUCAACCUGGGAACGGCAUCCGGAACUGUCAAGCUAGAGUGCAGGAGAGGAAGGUAGAAUUCCCGGUGUAGCGGUGAAAUGCGUAGAGAUCGGGAGGAAUAACAGUGGCGAAGGCGGCCUUCUGGACUGACACUGACACUGAGGUGCGAAAGCGUGGGUAGCAAACAGGAUUAGAUACCCGUGUAGUC